rnacentral:rRNA from 1 species
UACGUAGGGGGCAAGCGUUGUCCGGAUUUAUUGGGCGUAAAGAGCGUGUAGGCGGCCAUACAGGUCAGCUGUGAAAACUCGAGGCUCAACCUCGAGACGUCGGUUGAAACCGUUUGGCUAGAGUCCGGAAGAGGAGAGUGGAAUUCCCGGUGUAGUGGUGAAAUGCGUAGAGAUCGGGAGGAACACCUGUGGCGAAGGCGGCCCCCUGGGCCGGCCCUGACGCUGAGACGCGAAAGCGCGGGGAGCGAACGGG